rnacentral:rRNA from 1 species
CUGGACCUACGGGGCGCAGCAGUCGGGAAUAUUGCGCAAUGGAGGAAACUCUGACGCAGAGACGCCGCGUGCAGGAAGAAGGUUUUCGGAUUGUAAACUGCUUUAGACAGGGAAGAAACAAGACAGUACCUGUAGAAUAAGCUCCGGCUAACUACGUGCCAGCAGCCGCGGUAAUACGUAGGGAGCAAGCGUUAUCCGGAUUUAUUGGGUGUAAAGGGUGCGUAGACGGGAAAACAAGUUGGUUGUGAAAUCCCUCGGCUUAACUGAGGAACUGCAACCAAAACUAUUUUUCUUGAGUGCUGGAG